rnacentral:tRNA from 1 species
AGGGAUUGAGUUUGUUAAAAAGCAUCUUAUUUACACUAAGAAGAACACUUCUGUGAAUCUCUU